AUAUCAAUAAGCGGAGGAAAAGAAACCAACAGGGAUUGCCUUAGUAGCGGCGAGUGAAGCGGCAAAAGCUCAAAUUUGAAAUCUGGCUCUUUCAGAGUCCGAGUUGUAAUUUGAAGAAGGUAUCUUUGGGUCUGGCUCUUGUCUAUGUUUCUUGGAACAGAACGUCACAGAGGGUGAGAAUCCCGUGCGAUGAGAUGAUCCAGGCCUAUGUAAAGUUCCUUCGAAGAGUCGAGUUGUUUGGGAAUGCAGCUCUAAGUGGGUGGUAAAUUCCAUCUAAAGCUAAAUAUUGGCGAGAGACCGAUAGCGAACAAGUACAGUGAUGGAAAGAUGAAAAGAACUUUGAAAAGAGAGUGAAAAAGUACGUGAAAUUGUUGAAAGGGAAGGGCUUGAGAUCAGACUUGGUAUUUUGUAUGUUACUUCUUCGGGGGUGGCCUCUACAGUUUAUCGGGCCAGCAUCAGUUUGGGCGGUAGGAGAAUUGCGUUGGAAUGUGGCACGGCUUCGGUUGUGUGUUAUAGCCUUCGUUGAUACUGCCAGCCUAGACUGAGGACUGCGGUUUAUACCUAGGAUG
rnacentral:rRNA from 1 species